CUCAUCUGCUGGCCCCGCGGGGCUGAAGGACAGAAGGACUCAAGGAUGGCUUCCUGGAAAUGAACCUAAAGGGAGAUCAAAGAGCUGUGCAGAAAAGUGAAGGAAGGGUGGGCCUAGGCAGAAGAAACAGCAUGUGCCAAGACAUGAGGGUGCAGGGGGUCCUGGCACAGCUGGGAGGUGCCAGUGUGUCUGCACAUCUGGCAUGUGGAGCCCGUUGGGUGCAAGACCUAAAGCUGGAGCCACCUGCAGGAUCUGGAUCUGGAAGAACCGGCUCUGGCGAGACCUUAUGGACGCCCCAGAUUUCAAGCACCUGGACUACAGAACCGCACAUGAAGCAAGCCCAUGGCAGGGUGGGAAGAGCCCAGGCUCCUUGCUUACUUGUUAGCUGUGUUUGCUUGGGCAAGUGGCUCACUCCUCCCAGCCUCAGUUUUCUCAUCUGAAAAAUGGGUUUGUGGGACAGUGAUCAAGGGAGAAGAUAAUACAUUUCACACACAGUCAGUGCUCAAUUAGUGGUACUUACUUUUCUUCCUUUCAUUUAGCAUCUUCUGGCAAGGCUUGCCAAUAGGUUAGUCUUCUCUCAACUCUGCCAAAGUCCGCUGAAAACAGGACUUGUUUUCGGAUGAAGCCUCUGGCUGCUCCCUUUCCUUACAGAUACAGUUUGCCUGGUUGUUUUCUAGGCUGUUGUGUAUGCUACUGGUGAAGAACAACUUCUUCCACCCUCUCCCCUCCUGCCCCAGCCUUUUCUUCUCCCUCAUUAAGGUCCUUUGUAUUAAAGAUGACCUGAUUGGCAGAUGAGGUCUGCUGCUGUGACAUGGUUUGGCUCAUUAUUUAUCAGACUAGGAAGCAGGAAAUGAUGAACCAGACUGGAAACUCUUUGAGGGCCAUGAGGAUCCCAGAUCUUUUUAAACUUUCUCACUACUAUUACCCAGUAAAGGACAGUAAACCUGAACCACCUUUCACUCAGCUUUCCAGGGUUUCGGGUAUGAUGGGGAUGAGGAUUUGGCAAUGUACUCCAAUAAUGUUUUUUCUUUGAAGUCUCCUGGUUUGUCUUAAAAAUUUAAUAAAUUUAAAGUCCUAGUCCAUAGUGUAUCAUUUUUCAUUUUAAUAUAAUAAUACCAUUUUGGCCAGGUGCAGUGGCUCACACCUGUAAUCCCACCACUUUGGGAGGCCUAGGCAGGUGGAUUACUUGAGCCCAG
rnacentral:lncRNA from 10 species